rnacentral:tRNA from 2 species
GCGGUAGUAGCUCAAGUUAGAGCAUUGGUCUUGUAAAUCAAAGGUUAGGUUAAGUAAGGCCUCUUCCGCU